rnacentral:lncRNA from 1 species
GUUCUGUGAUUGACACGGUUUAUAAAUCAAAGAAUCUUCCUGUUGAACCAGAGCUUUCGCAAUGUUUCAAUUCAUUAUUUACUGUCAAAGGCUUUGGAAUCCAGGGUAGUGCUAUCGUAACAAAAGAGGAACAUUUGUUUGCUUUUUGAAAUGAAAUAGAACAUAUAAUUAUAUCAUUUUAAUGACUUGCUUCCGAUUUUCAGAAAGGUCUUGGAAACAUUGUUAAUUGUUGAUACUUUUGAAAUAUUCAGCAACUUGCCGAUGAAAUUUUUAUAAAAUAUUGCCAUAAAAUAUAUAACAUUCUAAGACUAAGGCUAUAUAUAUAUUGAUACUAUUGAUACUAUAGUGCUGUUCCAACGUACAAUAAUGUGAAAAAAAGAAAAGAAAAAAAAAAGAUGAAAAAGUUUUUUCAUCAAGUGAGAAAAAUUUCCGGAGAAACUUUCCAAAAUUGUUGUCGCUCCAAUAUUGUUUAGGUCCAUUUUUUUAAGUAUUUUAUAAAGCGUAUGCUAUGUAUGUGCUAAGAAGCUAGUUUUGUUGGCAUGUGGAAAGCAAAAGUAGCGAAGGUAAAGAGAUUAAAAUUGGAUUUAGUGCGUAUUUUUGAAAAAAUUUUUACCACAAAAUAUGGUAGUCCCCCCCCCCCGUCGAUGACACUUGUGACGUCAGGUACAUACGGGACUUUGGGGGCGGGUUUUGGCGGGAAAAUCUGUAAUGUUUGGAGAAGACAAGAUGGCGCUGGUUAAUUCGUGUUAUAUCAAACGACAUUUUUGUUCACAAAUACCCGCUUAUUUUACGUUAUAGCGACUGGUUCGUUUUGGAAAUUAUAACUCAAUGGACGGGGAAAAUGAUUCUGUAUUAAAGAGAAAAUGAUGUGCAGUUAUUGUGAUGUUAUUUGUUGUGAAAGACGGCCCGAAAUUUCACUGGUUUAUAAAACAUUUACAAGCAACAGCAAUUGAACUAUAUGACAAAGAAACCAAUGUAUACAAGCCAAUCAAGUUCUUCAGUUUAAAGGUCUGUUUACUUUUUAAUAAUUAGUUUAUUUAGUUGUACAUUAAUACGAAGUACUGGAACAGUACGCCUAGUCACAGAAUAGGAAGGUAUAGCCAUUGAACUAAAAAUAACUGGAACGAUACCUCCAGCCGGAAAUGUGAAGCCAUGCCCAGGCAUGCCCACUGUUCCAGGUGAUCUUGAUACGUGGAAAAGUACUGGCACUAGUUGUCAAAUAGAAAUCAUUUUAUGAUUAAAACAACUGAAUAUCUCCUGUAAUAUACUUUAUUUCGAUUCCAUAUUUUUGUCAGAGCUAUGGUUCUCAUAAGCAAACAUAAUUACAAAAUUUCAACUAGUUUCAUAAAAAAUAACGAAAGAUAUCAUUGACUGAAUACAUCAAAAUGGAUUUCUAUUUGGACAACCCUUUCUGAGCGCUGAUUGGCUAAAAUACGAACACGAGAUCACCUAGUUGUCAUGCCCAGUCUUCACGUAACGGAAAUGAACGCGGGUUUUUUAAAUUUCCAAAACUGGGUUAAAAAAAUGCAUUAAAACAUGAUUUAAAACGACGUAAAAUGCACCUACCAGUACAUUUUUUACAAUAAAAACAUCCUUCAAAACUCUAGAGUAAAAUAUUUUUAAUUUGUGUAGAAUUCAUAAUUAAAUUUCCUUUUUUGAAAAAAAAACGUUGAGCGAGGAGUGGAGCUUGCCGUGGUCUAAUCAUAAGUAUUUGUGUGAAUUUCCCUAUUUUGCUCAUUCGUUUUCCAAUUUAUUCGUCUGAAAGUUAGGAAAAAAGGUAUUCUAACAAGAUCAAACUACCAACCACAGUUUAAUUAUGUUUUGUAGUAGAGUAUUUAUUAAGUUUUAAAGGUACAAAAUAACAAAUAUAAACAUUAAAGACAUUAAGAAAGUUUUUUUCGCGGACAAGUAUUUCAUGUCGCGAUUAUUCACAUUCGGCAAGAAAUACACAGAACAAGUCGUCAACGAAGGCAAACAAAGUGAUAGAUACAGAUUAAAUAAACUUAUCUUGUUUAACAAUCAAUGAAGUUGUUAUAAAUAUAUGUUUAAUACGUUAAGAUAAAGAAUUACUUAUCUUUCUCAAGUUUCAUCUGCAUAUAAACGUUCCAGUCAUUCAAAUAUGCACUUGUUGUCUCCAAUCAGUUACUUUCUUCCUUGCAAUUUUAGUCGGUAGGGUUCAAGAUAUGUUUUAAAUACACUUUUAAUACAAAAAUAUAGCUUAAAACCCUAAAUAAACGACAAUUUUCGAUCCAUUCGUCCGAGAAAAAACAUUCAGUCACUUCGCCAUAAUGGUCUCGCGAGAAUGUCUCGCAACACAAACGCGCGUGUCUGGAGGUAGAACACGCACGGCUGGAGGUAAAAUUUGGCUUCAUCCGAUCAUAAGCCAAUCCUAUUGGAGGUAGCGUUCCAGGUAUUUUUAGUUCACUGGGUAUACCAGAAGCGUAACUCAAGCAAGUAUUUGUCCGCGUUUUUACAAGCGAUUCGUCAUCAAUCACGCCAUCCUGGCUAGUACAACCGGCACUUUGUACCUACCAAAACCAGUGAACUCUCUCUCUAUAUAUAUAUAUAUCUGGAAUGAUAACAGCGAGCGAAAAGUGAAGCCGACAAAAAAAAUCACGACAUAAGUAUUCGUCAUUGUCUUCGUCAUCAACUGUUCAAGAACAAUCACUUACAUAUAAAAUUUGUAAUUGUUUUGAAAGUUUUUAUCACAGUUUUUAUAUCUUUAUUCACUUUUAACCUGAAGAUGGAGUUAUACUCCGAAACGUAGUUAUUAAAAUAAUUUUUUACUAAGCCCAUAUGGUCUAAUUUAUAUUCCAACACACGUACAUAUUCAUUUACAUUUUGCUGGCAGGCAAAUUCCGAUCACACAAUAAAUUCUUUAAAAAAUAACGUACCAGUGUAUUGACUAAAAACUAUAAAACUGGUAAACUAAAAAACAAUUCAAACAAUCGCGAAAAAUGGCAAAGUCACAGUUGCAAGUCAAUUUACCUACCUGUGAAAUGAAAUUUUCCUCGCAAGAAUAUCUCUUUCCUUGUGCAUCCAGAACGACACAAUAUAUUUGAAAAAGCCUAUUCUUUUCUCCACACGGGGAAGUUUUCCUCGACUUUUUUCCGACAGCGAACUCAAUGCAGUAAAUUUUAGGAGCAAAACAGUUUGCUCCUAAAAUGUAUUGCAUUGAAUUGGCCAUGUUUUUAAUUUUUUUUUCGUGAUUGCGUUCAAAUUUAUACUGGCCACAGAGUAGAUAAGACAUACAGAGACGUAACUGACCGUUGUAAACACUGCGGAAGAUUACGUUAUCAUGUACCCACUUUUCUUAAGGCGACCGGGCGAAAAAUGAUCAACUGCGCGUGCUCAGCAAGUUUAAAGUUAGUCGUCAUCAGGACGUCAUCCAAUCAGAUGCACGCAUCUAGUAACUUGCCGAGCAUGCGCACAAAAAAAGUGGGUACACUAGUUACGUCUCUGUAUGUCUCUACUCUGUGUACUGGCCGUGCAACGGUUUGCAAGAGGGGGAAUGAAACUGACGUCCAAUCCGCGUAAACCUGACGUUUGAGGGACUGAGACUGAGUUCACUGACCAAAACCUGAUAAAAACUUCUGGCUGUACUAGCCAGGAUGGCGUGGAUUGGCGUGAGCGAGUUAAAAUUUUCGUGGACGUAAAACAAUAAGGGAAACGACUAGAGUUACGCUUCUGCUCUAUCUUCUUUAGUCUGUGGCCUAGUUUGGUUUUGCUAUUUGUACUGACUACUGUAGUCGGAAUAUUUAAGAUAAGGUAUGGAUAAACAGACCCCAACCCCUUCCCUAACCAAUAAAUGUGUAAUGAACUAUUUGAGAGUUAGAAAGGUCGGGGAAAUUUACAAAUAUUUUAAGAAACAUUUCUACGGGGCUGUUUAUGGAAGCAUGCCUUAGCAGGGCUGGCCCGCUAAACGAGAUAGCCCGGUAAGCGGAUGAAUUUUGCUUGCGUUUAUGAGAUUUUAUCCUGCUUGCUGUGCUAGAAAUUGUUUACAUUGCACUCAAUAGGCAAUUCCAGCUUUUAGUUUAUGCCUGCAGGGGAUGAUGGGAAGUAAGGUAUCAUAGUGCUGAUUAUGCUGGAAAAUUUCAAUAAAAACAACCGAAAUAUUUCAAUAUUUACAAGUAUAAGCUAUCACUACGUGUUUACACGGCCACCAUUUUUAUUUUUUCAGCAUAAUCAGCAAUGUGAUACCUUAUUUCCCAUCGUCCCCUGCACGCAUAAACUAAAAGCUGGAAUUGCCUAUUGGCUUUCUCAAUUUCAAAAUUACUUGAUCGAAUUUCGAAGUGAAUUUCUGCAAAUUAUCCACCAAAAUCUGCCAUGUGUUUGUGUUCACAAGAAGCCGCCAAGUGUUCCACCACCACGCCGGAGCUAUUUGACAACAAUGUAGAAAAGUCACAAUAAGGCAUCGCUUUCACACUACGCUGGAGCGAAAUAGUUUGAAAACUUUCACGACGCCUUUGCCAAAUACGCUACAAGCCUGAAUUGCUAAAAGCUGUUGCAAAAAACUGUUUUAUAUUACUACUUUACAAAAUGUAUGGAUGCUAUACUUCAGUUCUUGUAUGAUAGUGCUUAUAAAUAAUUAUUAAUAUCGAACUAAUAAUCAUUAGUUCGAUAUUAAUAAUUAUUUAUAAGCACUAUCAUACAAGAAAUGUCAAGAAUGAAUUUUCCUUCAAUGGUGGUUUUUUAUCUGUCAAAAGUUUUGAUAUAGUUUUCACAAGAGAAAUGUUUCUCAACAAUUUUCAGAAAGUUUUACAAGAUUUUGGGGCUUGUUUUGAAUUGGGCUAUUCCAUUUAAAAGACGUAACCCCCCUAUCAAGGACAAUGGUUUUACCAUAUCUCUGAAGAAUUCCUGACAUAAAAGAGAUCGCCUGAAGAAUUCCUGUUACCCCUGAAGAAUUACAAUUUUUACAUCUGACCCCUAAAGGAAUUGCAUUUGAAAUAACCAACCCCUGAAGAAUUCCACAGGAGAAUUUGUUUAUACCCAUGAGGAAUUCCGGAGUUAAAAAGGGAGAUUAUGGAUAUUAAAUGGAAUAGCCAAUUUUCUGGAAAAUUUAGCCCAAUUUUCUGGAAAAUUUCCUGGUUGUUUUCCCUGCAGCUUGUUUAUAAACAUGCUUGUUUAUCUAUAGCAUCAUUUGUAGAAAAGGUGUUGAAAGCAUUUUUUGAAAGCAAUGACGUAUUAUCGAAUGACAAAUGAUCAUGCGAGCGACACUUGCUAGGAAGAUGGCGACUGUGGGACAACUAUAUAAUAGUUUUGUUUGUGGAAACACCACAUAAAUUUAUUACUGCAAAGCUUUCGAUCCGUAAGCCCGGAUCUUCAUCAGUGCUAAUAUGUGACUUGUUUAAUUCACACACCCUUUUUAUAUACAAAAAAUGUCUUGAUCUGUUGGCUCACAUAUUAUUAGCACUGAUGAAGAUCCCGGCUUACAGAUCGAAAGCUUGGCAGUAAUAAAUUUAAGUGGUGUUUCCACAAACAAAACUAUUAUAUGUUUUAUCGCCAUGCAAACUUACAAAGAACUUAUUUGGUUGACAACUUUUUUACUGAAGUUAUUGNNNNNNNNNNNNNNNNNNNNGUACGAAAAAUGCUUAACUGGGAAGCAGCCAAGUCUAACACGUAAUUGCAAUUCAAAACCAGCGUAUAUGUAUUGGGCUAGUGAACCUUCGGACUAGUGAACCUUCGGACUAGUGGGAAGUCACCGCUGAAAGCUGUUGCAAAAAACUGUUUUAUAUUACUACUUUACAAAAUGUAAUAAUUGGAUGCUAUACUUCAGUUCUUGUAUGAUAGUGCUUAUAAAUAAUUAUUAAUAUCGAACUAAUAAUCAUUAGUUCGAUAUUAAUAAUUAUUUAUAAGCACUAUCAUACAAGAAAUGUCAAGAAUGAAUUUUCCUUCAAUGGUGGUUUUUUAUCCGUCAAAAGUUUAAUAUAGUUUUGACGAGAGAAAUGUUUCACAAGAUUUUGGGGCUUGUUUUGAAUUGGGCUAUUCCAUUUAAAAGACGUAACCCCCCUAUCAAGGACAAUGGUUUUACCAUAUCUCUGAAGAAUUCUUGACAUAAAAGAGAUCCCCUGAAGAAUUCCUGUUACCCCUGAAGAAUUACAAUUUUUACAUCUGACCCCUAAAGGAAUUGCAUUUGAAAUAACCAAGCCCUGAAGAAUUCCACAGGAGAAUUUGUUUACCCAUGAGGAAUUCCGGAGUUAAAAAGGGAGAUUAUGGAUAUUAAAUGGAAUAGCCAAUUUUCUGGAAAAUUUAGCCCAAUUUUCUGGAAAAUUUCCUGGUUGUUUUCCCUGCAGCUUGUUUAUAAACAUGCUUGUUUAUCUAUAGCAUCAUUUGUAGAAAAGGUGUUGAAAGCAUUUUUUGAAAGCAAUGACGUAUUAUCAAAUGACAAAUGAUCAUGCGAGCGACACUUGCUAGGAAGAUGGCGACUGUGGGACAACUAUAUAAUAGUUUUGUUUGUGGAAACACCACAUAAAUUUAUUACUGCAAAGCUUUCGAUCCGUAAGCCCGGAUCUUCAUCAGUGCUAAUAUGUGACUUGUUUAAUUCACACACCCUUUUUAUAUACAAAAAAUGUCUUGAUCUGUUGGCUCACAUAUUAUUAGCACUGAUGAAGAUCCGGGCUUACAGAUCGAAAGCUUGGCAGUAAUAAAUUUACGUGGUGUUUCCACAAACAAAACUAUUAUAUGUUUUAUCGCCUGUGGUCCCCCUUUGCAUUUGACCCAAAUGUUUUGGUCAUUUUAUAUUUGCCAAUAUAAAUCUUUUUUGCAUAGAAAUUAUACAUUUGGAAUAAUAAUUUUGUAUGCUGCAUUCAAUCUAUUCUCCAUUCAGGGAGAUUCUUUUGUAAAUACCCACACCAAUCAGAAGUCUGUAUUUUUAUGCUAAGACAGAAAUUGGCAUCCCAGAGAGUAAAUUAUAUUCAAGUUUAGGGCAUGUUGCAGCUCUAUAUCUUGCCGUUCCAAGUUGCUUUGCGUUUGAUGUUUGUUCUGGGAUAAAAUAUUGAAUUAUACCUUAAAUUAAUGUUUUGUGAAAUUUAGUUUAAUUAAAUAAUUUAGUAGAGAGAUGAGUGCAUAAAGCAUAUAGGGAUUUUGAAGCUAAAUAUGUUAUAAAAUUUGUCAUUUUAGUGAAUGCAUUCGUUUCUGCUCGUCCUGGUUGUUGCAAGGAGACAUCGGGCAUUGUAAUGGAUGGAUGACAAUGUGUCGCUGGCAAACCUAUACCGUGUGCAUUUUCUUGGUGGAUAUCUUGGGCAAAUGUGCAAUAUGACGGAGGGAUAUCUUGGGCAAAUAUCUUAUAUAAAUUGGUACGAUUGCUUACCUUAAAUUACUAAAGAAGGAUGAUGUUGUAAGGUUAG